rnacentral:ncRNA from 1 species
AAAAGUUUGAUUUUUGUCUUGGAUAAUUGGGUUUAAUUUUGAUUUACAUGCAAAUUUGUGUUUGAGUUUGAUUGACUUUUAGAUAAAGUCUCUAACCUAGUUAUAUUCGCAGUAAAUAAAUUUAAAUUUUAGUGAAAGCUAGAUUUAGCAAUAAUUAUUAAGUACUAACAAAACUUGUGCCAGCAGUUGCGGUUACACCAGUGGUACAACUUCAUUUUUUUUGGUUACAGUGAAUUUGAUAGAUUAUUUUAAAUUGCAUUUUGUUAGGUGAAAUUUUAAUGUGCAUAAAAAAUAUAUAGAAUGAGGCUGAGAAAUUUUUUUUUAUAAACUAGGAUUAGAUACCCUAUUAUUGAAAACGUUAAUUUAUUUACCAUAUUAGUAUUAGUUAAGUUCUUGAAAAUAGAAAAAUUUGGCGGUAUUUUAGUCUGUUCAGAGGAACCUGUCCCGUAAUUGAUGAUCCACGAUUUAUUUUACUUUAUCUUUUAGUUGGUAUAUCGUCGUAGGUUGAAUAUUUUAUUAGAAUUUCAAUAUUCAUAAUUUUGUGAUAGAAAAGGAAAUCAGAUCAAGGUGUCGCUUAUGAUAAAGGGGAGAUGGGUUACGUUAAUUUUAUUUGGGGAUUAGUAUUUUGUAAAUGUAUAUGAACUUGGAUUUGAUAGUAAUUUUAAUUAGAUAAUUAAGGUGAUUUAGCUCUAAAGUAUGUACAUAUCGCCCGUCGCUUUCACUUCAAGGUGGAAUAAGUCGUAACAUAGUAGGCGUACUGGAAAGUGUGCCUGGAUAGUC